GUGCCAGCCGCCGCGGUAAUACGUAGGGGGCAAGCGUUGUCCGGAUUUACUGGGUGUAAAGGGCGCGCAGGCGGGAUAGCAAGUCAGAGGUGAAAUCCUACAGCUUAACUGUAGAACUGCCUUUGAUACUGUUAUUCUUGAGUUCGGGAGAGAGAGACGGAAUUCCAGGUGUAGUGGUGAAAUACGUAGAUAUCUGGAAGAACACCAGUUGCGAAGGCGGUCUCUUGGUCCGAUACUGACGCUGAGGCGCGAAAGCGUGGGGAGCAAACAGGAUUAGAUACCCUCGUAGUCC
rnacentral:rRNA from 1 species